AGGGAUGUCAUUUCAACCAACACAGGCACCACCACGACAUUUCGGAUGACAACACUUAUAUGAUGCGGGACCUUCUUCGUAUUACCCUAUGGCGACAGCAGAAGGAACGCAAGGAUCGCACCACCAGCUUCCUGAUAUUGGUCCUUCAUCGUAUCCACCACCAACAGGUACGUAUGAUGAAUAUGUACCCAAAUAGAUGACUUAUAAGACGAUGAUUAAGAUAUUUUAAUUGCUACUGCAUAGGGGCCACACAAGAUACCUUGGAGGCGAACUUCGAAGACUGGAGUCAGUUAUUUUCUACACCUAACCAGCAGGCCGAUCCUACCUUACAGACACCUGUGGCCAUCGGACGUCCAGGUAGAGACGUAGGGCCUCCAGACCAACACACAUACCCUACAGACCACGUCCACGCACAGCGUAAAAGAGGUCGACAUGGCCGGGUGGUUA